rnacentral:rRNA from 1 species
CCUACGGGUGGCUGCAGUGGGGAAUAUUGGGCAAUGGAGGCAACUCUGACCCAGCAACGCCGCGUGAAUGAUGAAGGUCUUCGGAUUGUAAAGUUCUUUUCUAAGGGAAGAAGAACGUGACGGUACCUUAGGACUAAGCCUCGGCUAACUACGGGCCAGCAGCCGCGGCAAUACGUAGGCGGCGAGCGUUAUCCGGAAUGAUUGGGCGUAAAGGGUGAGCAGGCGGUCCUGCAAGUCUGGAGUGAAACGCAUGAGCUCAACUCAUGCAUGGCUUUGGAAACUGGAGGACUGGAGAGCGGGGGAGGGCGGUGGAACUCGUGGUGUAGCGGUGAAAUGCGUAGAUAUAUGGAAGAACCCCGGUGGCGAAGGCGGCCGGCUGGAGUGUUGCUGACGCUGAGGCACGAAAGCGUGGGGAGCAAAUAGGAUUAGAUACCCUUGUAGUC